rnacentral:rRNA from 1 species
GGGGAAUAUUGGGCAAUGGGGGCAACCCUGACCCAGCGACGCCGCGUGAGGGAAGACGGCCUUCGGGUUGUAAACCUCUUUUGUACGGGAAGAAGGAAGUGACGGUACUGUACGAAUAAGUCCCGGCUAACUACGUGCCAGCAGCCGCGGUAAUACGUAGGGGACGAGCGUUGUCCGGAAUUACUGGGCGUAAAGGGCGCGCAGGCUGUGCUGCAAGUCAGCUGUGAAAUGUCUGGGCUUAACCCGGGCAUGCGGUUGAGACUGCAGUGCUGGAGUGCUGUAGAGGCAAGUGGAAUUCCCAGUGUAGCGGUGAAAUGCGUAGAUAUUGGGAAGAACACCGGUGGCGAAGGCGACUUGCUGGGCAGCAACUGACGCUGAGGCGCGAAAGCCAGGGGAGCAAACG